rnacentral:rRNA from 1 species
GAGGAAUAUUGGGCAAUGCCCGAAAGGGUGACCCAGCAACGCCGCGUGGAGGAUGAAGGUCGUAAGAUUGUAAACUCCUGUUAGAGGGGAAGAAUAACUAAGUUUGGAGCUUAGUAUGACUGUACCCUCAGAGAAAGCCCCGGCUAACUACGUGCCAGCAGCCGCGGUAAUACGUAGGGGGCAAGCGUUGUCCGGAUUUACUGGGUGUAAAGGGUGCUCAGGCGGAUUUGUAAGUCAGAGGUGAAAUCUUACAGCUUAACUGUGAAACUGCCUUUGAUACUGCAAGCCUAGAGUAUGGAAGAGAGUGAUAGAAUAACUGGUGUGGCAGUUAAAUGCGUAGAUAUCAGAUAGAACACCACUGGCGAAGGCAGUCACUUGGUCCAGUACU